GAUGAACGCUAGCGGCAGGCCUAAUACAUGCAAGUCGAACGGGAUCCAGAUCAAAGCUUGCUUUGGUUUGGUGAGAGUGGCGCACGGGUGCGUAACGCGUGAGCAACCUACCCUUGUCAGGGGGAUAGCCCGGCGAAAGUCGGAUUAAUACCGCAUGACAUCAUUGAGAGGCAUCUUUCGAUGAUCAAAGAUUUAUCGGACAAGGAUGGGCUCGCGUGACAUUAGCUAGUUGGUAAGGUAACGGCUUACCAAGGCUACGAUGUCUAGGGGCUCUGAGAGGAGAAUCCCCCACACUGGUACGGAGACACGGACCAGACUCCUACGGGAGGCAGCAGUAAGGAAUAUUGGUCAAUGGACGGAAGUCUGAACCAGCCAUGCCGCGUGCAGGAAGACGGCCCUAUGGGUUGUAAACUGCUUUUAUACGGGAACAAACGUCGGUACGUGUACCGGUCUGAGUGUACCGUAAGAAUAAGGAUCGGCUAACUCCGUG
rnacentral:rRNA from 1 species